UACGGAGGGGGCUAGCGUUGUUCGGAAUUACUGGGCGUAAAGCGUACGUAGGCGGCUUUGUAAGUUAGAGGUGAAAGCCCAGAGCUCAACUCUGGAAUUGCCUUUAAGACUGCAUCGCUUGAAUCGUGGAGAGGUUAGUGGAAUUCCGAGUGUAGAGGUGAAAUUCGUAGAUAUUAGGAAGAACACCGGUGGCGAAGGCGGCCCACUGGAUCGGUACUGACGCUGAGGUGCGAAAGCGUGGGGAGCAAACAGG
rnacentral:rRNA from 1 species